GGCUUCCGUCCCGGACAGAGCCCGUGGCCGCGCAGAGAGCAGGAUGCUGAACCAUACUUAGAAUUAAUCAGGAGAAACAUGGGAAACAUGCAGAAAACAACAUAAUUAUAUGUGCACUUUUAAGCUGUAAAGUGAAAUUAGAGUCUUUUAAGUCUGCAUGUGAUUUCAUCAUUUUUAAUAAUACCAAUCUUAAAGAAUGGCCAUCAUGUUCUUUGGACAUUGAUUCCUCCAGAAGGGGAAGAAUAUAAAAAACACCAAUGCCCAAGUUUGUUUGUUGUGAAAAUAGCCACACUUAAAGUCGACUUUUAUAUUGUUCUUGUAAAACAUCAAUUAUUAUACAGUAAAAGAUAAAUUCAGCUGAAUAUGUGGGGAGAAGGGAAGGAAAGAUUUGAAGAUUAUUUAAUAAUGUUUUAACUUUUAUGUUCUUCAUGUAUGGCAUAAAAACUUAUUUAAACUCCUGAGGUUUUAGUUGAGUAUAUGUUUUAAAUAAAUAUUAUUAUUUAAGAAAAA
rnacentral:sRNA from 1 species